UAUAAAACAAAUUCUAAAAACAUUGUAAACAAAACUUUUCGGACAUGCUUUUGAAAUGUACUGCCUUGACAUUUUAUAGGCGUCGUAAUGAUAUGCUUUUUCGAGAAAUUUCAAAAUCUGUAAGUGAUAUGGGAAAACAUCUAUGGAAUAUGAAUCCGCUUACUAAAAAACAUGAAGGUGAUGAAUCCAAGCAGUCAACCAAUGUUAGCUUACAGCUACCAUUCACUAUGAGAUCCUCUAACAACUUGACAUCGCCUGCUUUUGUAAAAUCUUCUAUGGCGUUUCGUCGAUGGACUCAUGUUGAGCAGGUGAACUAUGUGGCAUUAUUGAGAAAAAAUGUGAGUGCCUCAUAUAUUUUUCACCGCGAUACAGCUGGGAUUAAAAGUUUUGGAGUUGCUACCACUUUUCCUCUAAAUAGCCGGGUUUGAAAAUUUGGCUGGGUUUAAUGCCGCUAUGAAGUUCAACUGAUUUCACAAAUAUUUUCAUCUAUUUUAUGAAUGCGGAGCCGUAUAUUAAAUAUUUCUUGCUAAUGAUACCUAUAGUAAAUCGAGGAUGCUUUUGACGGUUAUCGAAAAUAACUCCAGCAUAAGAGUAUCUCCCACAAAUUACUAUGCCAACGGCACACAGUUAGUGAAAUGAAAAUAACUGAUACCGAAAUACGAUCAUUUCCGAACUAGUAUAGGUAUCACGUACACAUUUUACCUAUAGUAAAUCGAGGAUGCACGUAACGGUUAUCGAAAAUAACUCCUGCAUAAGAGUAUCUCCUGCAAAUUACUAUGCCAACGGCACACAGUUAGAGAAAUGAAAAUAACUGAUACCGAAAUACGAUCAUUUCCGAACUAAUAUAGGUAUUAUGUACACAGUUCACCUAUAGUAAAUCGAGGAUGCAUUUGACGGUUAUCGAAAAUAACUCCUGCAUAAGAGUAUCUCCUGCAAAUUGCUAUGUCAAUGGGUAUUACGUACACAUUUCACAUGAACAUAUUUUUAGAAAAAGGAUUCAUUUUGCAGAUGAUUUGAGUGCUGUGCUGACCUAAGAAUUUGAUACAUAUGGAGGUUUAUAUGAACAGUAUUUGUGAGAUUAGUUGGAGAGCGGAAAGUUUAUGUUUCAUGUCUUUUAUUCUAUUCUUACCAGAUUUGACGUACCAGUGGGUUUGCUUGAUGGAAAUUAACAAUAUUCGUACUCCCACGCCCUUACUUGACGUACAUUCACGCCCUUGAUGAACGAAAAAUGCUUAAGUUGUCUAAUUUGAACAGUAAAAAAAUAUUUCUAAUUUCAUUGUUCCUAGAAAAUAUCAUCUAAUUUGAAUAAUAGAAAAAUUCGCAACAUUUCAAUGCAUAUAAAAAAGAUCCUGUAAUUUAGUUUAUAUCUAACAGAAUAAAUCUUAAGAAUU